rnacentral:lncRNA from 1 species
ACAACUUUUGUACAGGACCGAGACAAGGUACUCAACCUUACCUGUUAACCUUUCGUUUGUUUUUUAACUGCUAUCUUGCUUAUGUAAAUGUUUACGAGAAAAGAUUCACAGUGAUGGAAUUAUCAAAAGCACCAUCAUGAUCCUAAAAUUGUUUAUAUGGUUCAAAUUUCCAUGCUUUGAGGGCCUUGUUGGAAAAAUAAACUUGUUUUUUAUUAGUAGCAUUUGGGAGUUAUAUUUUGCUAUAGUUACUUAACUAAGUAGUGGUGUGAGUGGGGUGUUAAUAUUCGAGAAGUAGUGAAGGAGUAGUAGAAUAAUGAUGUAAUGGUUAUAAUGUUAGCGGAAGAGAUGAUUGUGUAGUGGAGGACAUGGUUGUUAAUGUAAAACUCUGAGUUACACGCUUGAGUCCUAGAAAUGGCUAUACAAGCACGAGGCAGGGUAAAAUAGUGGAAGGAGUAUAGAGUAAAUGAAUGAGUGAAAUGAAAUAAUCGUAUUUUCCCUUCAAUUAUCUUCUUGUUUGUGUGUUAGUCUCUUGCCUCGACUUUGCAACAGGCAACAGCCCUAGCCAAAUAGCCAUUCACGGAAUCUUAUCUAUUAUACGCUUCUCUGUACUUCAUAUUUUCACCUGUUUUUCCCCCCAUCUUUUGUGGGCAUUUCACUGUAAACACACACACUGGUACACAUAGUUGGGAUGGAUAGCAUGACCAUCAAAUAAUUUACAGCACUAUUCUUUCAGUAGCUUGAACUGUUCUUUUGAGAAGUACAUGGGAAAUCGUUUUAUUGAUGGGCUCUUUUGUGGGUGAUAUGUGCAGGUUUGUACUUUUAGGGACAAUACGAAUGCGAUGACUUUGUGGGUCUUACAGUGACCAUCAGAUACAUUGCUUUUGGCAAUUGGCAGUGAAACAAUUAGGUAUAUUUUACGCGACAAGGCUAGUAGUAUUUUGCUCGAACCACCAAAAAUAAUUGAAAAUUUUGGGACUUGCAACUAGACAGCGAUUAAACUGCUGAUACUUGCAACUUGAAUUGUGAGAUCAUUUGCAAAGGAAAGUAGUUCAAGAGAAAAAAGGAAUGAAGUAGGUAGGUUGCGCUGGAUGAUUAUUUUUUAUAUAUUGAUGAUAUGGAUCUUGACUCAGAAAAUGAGGAUAAUGUGAUAUUGGUAAAAUUAGUAGGUAUCGCGAGGCAGAGGUAAAAAGUGUAACAAAGACAACGGCGAUUGAUCGUGUAACUCGUGUUCUUAUGUUGAUUAAUGUGUUGGAAAAAUUAUGUUUUUG